GGGUGAGUAACGCGUGGGUGAGCUAUCUCAAAGUUGGGGACAACCAGAUGAAAAUCUGGCUAAUACCGAAUGUGGUCUUCUGACGCAUGUCAGGUUGACUAAAGGCGGGGAUUCUUCGGAACCUGCCGCUUUGAGAGGUGCCCGCGUGCCAUCAGCUUGUUGGUAGGGUAAUGGCCUACCAAGGCUUACGGCUAGCCGGCCUGAGAGGGUGAUCGGCCACACUGGGACUGAGACACUGCCCAGACUCCUACGGGAGGCUGCAGUCGAGGAUCAUUCGCAAUGCGCGAAAGCGUGACGAUGCGACGCUGCGUGGGGGAUGAAGGCCUUCGGGUCGUAAACUCCUGUCAUGAGGGAAAAGUAUCCCUGCAAUUAAUAGUUGCGGGGCUCGAUGGUACCUCAAGAGGAAGCCACGGCUAACUCUGUGCCAGCAGCCGCGGUAAUACAGAGGUGGCGAGCGUUGUUCGGAUUUACUGGGCGUAAAGGGUGCGUAGGUGGUUUUGUGUGUCGGAUGUGAAAUCCCAUGGCUCAACUGUGGAAUUGCAUUCGAAACUGCGGAACUAGAGUGCAGGAUGGGAGAGCGGAAUUCUUGGUGUAGCGGUGAAAUGCGUUGAUAUCAGGAAGAACACCGGUGGCGAAGGCGGCUCUCUGGAAUGCUACUGACACUGAGGCACGAAAGCUGGGGGAGCGAACAGGAUUAGAUACCCUGGUAGUCCCAGCCGUAAACGGUGCACACUUGGUGUGGGGAGAUUUAACCCUCUCCGUGCCGGAGUUAACGCGUUAAGUGUGCCGCCUGGGGAGUACGGCCGCAAGGCUAAAACUCAAAGAAAUUGACGGGGGCCCGCACAAGCGGAGGAGCAUGUGGCUUAAUUCGAUGCAACGCGAAGAACCUUACCAGGGCUUGACAUAUACCUGCACGCCCCGUGAAAGCGGGGAAGCUUUCGAAGGUGGUAUACAGGUGCUGCAUGGCUGUCGUCAGUUCGUGCCGUGAGGUGUUGGGUUAAGUCCCGUAACGAACGCAACCCUUGUGGCUAGUUGCCACCGGCGGUGAUGAGCCGCCGAGCACUCUAGCCAGACUGCCCGUACAAGCGGGAGGAAGGUGGGGAUGACGUCAAGUCAGUAUGGCCCUUACGCCCUGGGCUGCACACGUGCUACAAUGGUCGGUACAAUGGGAUGCAAUACCGCGAGGUGGAGCCAAUCCCCAAAGCCGCC
rnacentral:rRNA from 1 species